UAUAUUUUAUUGUAUUUUAUUUUUAUUUUAUUUGUAAAGUAUGUUAUAUUAUUAUAAUUACAUUAUGUGCACACAACAAUAAAUUACUUGCAGUAUUUUUUGUACCCAUUUACAAGAAACUUGUAAAAAAUGUAUUAUAGAGCAUGUGCUGGGAAUAUAUUUUUUUUACAAAUUUGAACAUAAUAUUUUGUGGAAUAUCCAAAGAUUUUUAAUUCUCUUAACCCCCUCCAUAAAAUAAAAUUUUGUUUAAAAGUAUUAAAAUUACAUUUUAUAUUCGUGCCUAUUGUUAUUAUUAGACAUUAGUUAAUACAAAAAUAUACCUGUAAUUUAUAUUUUUAUCAAUUAUUUAUUAUAAUAUCUAGACUCCACAUUUAAUAAUCGGUUUUUUGUAUAAUGUUAUGAUACUCAUCAAUUAAUUAUUAUUUUAAACAAAUGAUUUAUGUAGUUUUAUGGAUUCGGGGUUGGUGGGUAGUGUAGGGGAUAGCCAUGUACAUUAAUACAGAAACAAUUAGUAUGUGAGUACUUAAUUUAAAUAAGGGCAUUAUAGAAAAAAAUACUUUAUGCUGCCACGGGUAUUAGUGGUAUAGUGGCAUUGUAUUAAACUUCUUAUAUUUAUAACAAAUAAAAUUAAUUGUAAUUUUAAAUUUAAAAAACACAUUAUAUGGGUUAACAUAAUUUUAUCAAUUUAAUAAAAUUAAAAGUUAGUGCUGUAAAAAAUUGCUGUCCAUGAAUCCAAGGCCUUAAACACAACAUUGAGAAAUAAAGUCACUAAUAGUAAUAGUAUUUUUACUGCCCUUAAUUGAAUACUUGAAUAUAGACAAUCUUUUAAUUUUAUGAACCAUAGUUUAGAUCUGGUGUUCCCAAUACUGUUUUGCAGCAGGAUUAAUCUAAGAUAUUUUUUAUACCACUUUAUUACUUUAUUCUAGUAUAAUUUUACAAAAUAAAAAUAUUGUUUUACUGAUUUAAUCACAAUUAUUUGAAUGUAUAAUAUAGCUAAACUUUAAACUUUAAACUUAACCAACAUUUAAUAUUUUCACCGGGGCCCAAAUUCUUCAAGAUACACCAUUGCUUACAGCUAAUUACUUGAAUUGGUUUUUAUUAAUAUUCUUAUUUUUUUGAUUUUGUACUGUAUACUAAAUUAUAUUUAUUCAUAGCAAUGAAAAAUAACGGUGAAUUUGGAUACCAAUGUCAUAAUCAAAAUUGUGGCCGAAUAUACAAAACCAAGCCAGGCAUUCACAAUCACCUUAAAGUAUAAUUGUGAAAGAUGCCAAAGAAAAUACAGAAAUGUUGGUAGUUUGAAAAAACAUAUUUUAUACUACUGUGGUCAACAAUUUCCUUGUGAUAUAUGUACUGGUAUUUUCACUCGUAAAGCAACUCUACAACUUCAUAAAGCAGUAAAACAUGGAGUUUUAAUGGAAUAAAUUCUUUAUACUAAAAUACAGUGGUUAUCGUUUUAGUAAUCAUUGGUUUUGGACAAAAUGGAUAGCAUAAAGUAACUGAUAAUACAAUACAAAAAUUAAAUUAUGUGCAUAACCAGAGUAAUACAGCAUGUACUACGAUAACAAUAUACAAUUGUUAACUCUAACCGUGUUUAUAAUAAGCAGCGCCUACUGUAUUUAAUAUUCAUGUGUUGAAUUCAAAUAUUAUAUUUAGACAAAUUUUAAUCAAACUUAUUAGAAAAUAUAUAAAAUGUUGUUAGUUAUAUUUUUAUAGUUGGUAAAUUAAACAGGCACUUUAUAACUUUUAGUUAUAUUUAAUUGUUCCUAAGUUAAUAGUUGUAUUUAAAUUAUUCCUUAAGUAAAGAUUUUGUAGUGUUAAAACUGUUUUAAAAUAUGAGUGUCAAAUCCAUUGGUUUAUAUAGUACUUAAUACUUUUCUUAUUACUUUGUCUCUAUGGAUUUAUUAAAUGAAAAAUAUAUAAUAUUGUGAACUUUUUGUAUGACAUACUUUUUACAUGACUGUUAUUUUUAUGUCUAAAAAAUUGACAAAAUUUCAAUUUAUGGCUUUAUAUUUAUUUGAAUAAUUUUUUUAUAUAAAUGAAUGACACUUUGUUAAAAGGGACCUAAGUUACAUUUUUGAAAAAAAUAGUUUUGUUUUAUAUUAUUCAUCGUCUUAUGUAAACACAUAGUUUUGUGCUAAAAAGUACCUAUUUCAUAUCAUCUUGUCUGUGCAAAAUUAUUAUGAAAUAUUUCAUAGUUUGUUAAAAGGUACCCAUGUACUUAUUACGCAAAUAUAAAUAAAGGAAAACUGUUUUUUGUUACUCCUGAAAAGUAGUUGAAAAUGUACAUGGGUCCCUUUUAACAAAUUGCCAUUCAAAUAUUAAAUAAACAAAUGCUGUAAACUAAUUUUUUCUGUUUUUAUUAAUAGGUGAAAGUUUAAACCACAAGACAAGUCUCAAGUCUAAUUUUAAAAAUGGCCGUUACCAUUGUCCUAAUCAGUGUGGCAAGCAUUAUAAAGCAAUUAAUGGAUUGAGUCAACAUUUAAACAAUGAAUGCGGUGUGAUACCCAAAUUUGUGUGUUCUAUAUGUAUGAAAAGUUAUCAAUAUAAAAAUAGGCUUAAACUUCACAUGGCCAGUGUACAUACUAUAUUACUUGACAGUUGAUAUGAUGAAAGAACUUUAUGAUUACUCAGCUGGCUGAGUAUAGAUAUUAGUUCCCGCUUCCUAUGUCCAAAUUUAUGUGGUCGAAGUUACAAAUAUAAGCGUGGAGUAUACACUCAUGUGAAAUUUGAGUGUGGUGUGGAACCCAGUUUUUUAUGUUCAUUGUGUCCAAAGAAAUUUGCUAGGAAGUUCCAGCUAGAAAGUCAUUUGGUGUUGAAGCACAAAGUUGUUAAAA